UACUAUACUAAAACUUAAGUAAAAACUUGAAUAUUAUAAGGUAAAAGCUUUAAAUUCAAAGAAUUUGGCGGUAAUUUAGUCUUUCCAGAGGAACCUGUUUUGUAAUCGAUAAACCACGAAUAAUCUUACUUGUCAUUACAGCUUGUAUACCGUCAUUAUCAGAUAAUAUUUAAAGAUAAGAUUAUUAAAUUUUUAAUAAAAAUAAAAAUUAGAUCAAGGUGCAGCCUAUGGAUAAGUUAAAAUGGGUUACAAUUAGGUAAACAUAAGAUGGAGUAAACACUGAAAGAGGUUUAUGAAGGAGGAUUUGGUUGUAAUGAAAAUUAGUACGAUUAAAAGAUAUAAGCUCUAGAUUAU
rnacentral:rRNA from 1 species